CUCACCUGGCCCCAGCGCGGAGCCGGAUCACACCUGCCUGCUGGGUGAGCCGAGGGCAUUCGCGGAAGGGAAGAGACAAGACCUGGGAAGGGACGCCUGUGGCUUAGAAAGACCCUCAGGCAGGGCCGGGCGUGGGGCGCGCUGAUAAAAAUUCCUGGAGCUGUAUUAUUCACAUCGCAGAUUUGUCCCUUUGCCUCAAUCUAAAAGGAAUGGGAAAGAACAGCCGCUGGGCUCUCAUUUGCUUCCAGCUUACACAGAUUCAACUAUCAAUUAUCCCAGAGGAGAGGCGUGCAGUGCAGGGCGUUGGGCCACGAAACUGAAAGCUGCUGGCGAGGCGCGUGGGGGAGGUCGAUUUCUGCGUCCUGCUGCCUCCACGCACAGUGAGAACCCACCCCGCCACUGCGUUCCUGUCCUCACAGAGAUUCUGGAUUGACUGUGCUAGCAGGAGAAGCUGGGAGUGACUUCUGAGCUGGACUGACCACUGGACGCCAAGUGAUUAUCCCUAAUGUAUUACAUGUCAUUUGCAACCCAAGCUGUCCGUCAUGUACUGGGCCAUCUGACACACUCAUAAAAUCCCAUUACCAACUGGAAAUGGUUUAUGUGGGACUAGCUCCUAACCAGGCACAUCAUUGCUUCAACUGAUUCAUGAGCAGAAGAGUCUUUGCUGGCAACACAUGAACUGUGAUGGAUUCAAUCACUUAGGCUUUCCAUUAUCAAUGCAGACCUGGCCCCUGGGUGCACAGGGUUAUCAGUGACCACCCCUGAAUGCCGCAACUGACCAGACUCCAGGGACACCAUGGACUACUUAGUUGCAGACUGAUGACUUUGGACCUCUUCCAUUAUGGAAAGGGCAGUGAUUUCUUUUCACUGAAACAGGCUCAUGUCUGACUUUGGAACUGACCUCUCUGCCUGUAGAUCAUCAUGGCAUGCUCUACAAAAUUGCUUCUGACAACGGAAUUCACUUUACAGUGAAAGAGGGAAAGCAGUGGGUGAUACCCUUGUCAAUGGAUCCUGUCACCCAGAAGCAGUCAUCUGUAUUCAGCUGUGACAUGAUUUAUUGAAGAUUUCAUUUCAGGACUGAGAGACGAUCAUACCUAAGGAGAUUGAAAUAUCGUCCUUUAAGAUGCUUGUUUGUUCUGAACUAGGGAACAUCACGUGGUGCCGUUUCUCCCACAGCCAGACUAAACAGGUCUGGAGGAAGGGGAAGUAGGCACGGUGCAACUUCCAUCUUACUUAAUGACUCUCACUCUCUUCAACUUUUUUUCCACCAAUUAGCGAUUUUAUUCCCAGGAAAGGAAGGUUGCACCAUUGAGGCAGCUGACCGUUGGGGUGGCUCCCUUUGGAAAGGGGAUAUAAAGUGUUUGUAUGAGUGAUGGUUCCAUUAAAGCAGACAUUUUUUAAAAAGGUGAAAUUUGGGGAAUUAGAGUGAAUAUAGAUGUUGAACAGAAAAAGAGUGAUAUAGCAAUAGUCUGGACAUGUGGGCUGGCCACCUGGAAUUUCACAUGCCAUUAGGUCAAAAAAGUGGGUUGACAAGGCUGGCUGCAGUGACUAGUCCUGGGAAAAUGCUGCUAUACCACGGGAGACAGGCCAGGGUGGAGGCUAUGAAUGAAACUCAAGUGGUUCUCUCAGGAGCCGCCUCCUCCUCCUCCU
rnacentral:lncRNA from 1 species